AUUGAACGCUGGCGGCAGGCCUAACACAUGCAAGUCGAGCGGUUGAAGGGAGCUUGCUCCCUGAUUCAGCGGCGGACGGGUGAGUAAUGCCUAGGAAUCUGCCUAUUAGUGGGGGACAACGUUUCGAAAGGAACGCUAAUACCGCAUACGUCCUACGGGCGAAAGCAGGGGACCUUCGGGCCUUGCGCUAAUAGAUGAGCCUAGGUCGGAUUAGCUUGUUGGUGAGGUAAUGGCUGACCAAGGCGACGAUCCGUAACGGGUCUGAGAGGAUGAUCAGUCACACUGGAACUGGGACACGGUCCAGACUCCUACGGGAGGCAGCAGUGGGGAAUAUUGGACAAUGGGCGAAAGCCUGAUCCAGCCAUGCCGCGUGUGUGAAGAAGGUCUUCGGAUUGUAAAGCACUUUAAGUUGGGAGGAAGGGUUGUAGAUUAAUACUCUGCAAUUUUGACGUUACCGACAGAAUAAGCACCGGCUAACUCUGUGCCAGCCGCCGCGGUAAGAC
rnacentral:rRNA from 1 species